UAGCUAAUCUUUCGCGAUUUCCACUGCUGAUUAUUCAAUCUUUGUUCUUUUUUCUUAAAAAAAGAAACUCAACCUUUGAUCUGGUCACCUUUUGUUUUUUUGGACAAUUGUGAUGUUACUGCUUUCUCUUAUAAGAUCUUGUAGAAUGGUUAUUCUCACUUUCUCGGAAAGAAAAAAUAGGGGUCUUCUCUUCCAGAAUGGCACGGCAAAUGUCCUGUAUGGAGCCGAAAGGAGAUAUUUUGGUGGUGAGGUGGAUUGCCUCCUGACCAAUCCACAUUCAAUGGGGGUAAUUUGGUCAAUAGGCAAAGCCGGGUCCUGGGCGCAACUAGCAUCAGCCAGGACUAACUGGAGAAAACAGAGUGGCCGAGUUUUGACGAUUGGAACUUGGGCACUCCGGUCGCAGUCGUCCUUAAAAUUUUAGUCAAAAGCAUGUCUAUUAGCAAUUCAGGGAGCGUUAUGUUAGGAGACCCGGCAUUAAUUAGCAUUUAUUGGAGGUACUGUAAAUCUCCAUAAAGUGUUGGGGAUAAGAACAAGUCUGCCCGACUGCCCUGGCCGCUUGGCGUUUGCAACUGAAGUCUCGCUGUGUCCCGGUGACCAUGUCCAUGUGCACCGCACAAGGAAAACAACUUGGAGAGUUGCCGACCGUCGGAUGGGCCAUUGGCUCUGCUCUGCUGGUUCGAGCUACACUAGUAACAGCAGCCAUGGCCACUAGUCCACUUCCGGUGUAUUUCUCCGGCGACGCACACUCCACCGUUCUUAGCGUUCAUGCCCCCUGGCCGUCGGAGGUGCCUUUGCCUCGAGGCCAGGCACUCAUGAACCCACGGUGCAGGUGCGCCCUCUCUCCGAAUACUUUCGAUGAAUCCCCUCCACUCCACAAAAGUUUUGGGAGGGAUUGGAGAGGAUUAGAGGGGGUUGGAGGGAUUAAAAUUCCAACAGAUCAAAAUCGAUUAAAUUCCUAACAAAUCAAAAUCCCCCGCAAUACCCUCUCCCCUCCCAACCCCCUCUAAUCCUCUCCAAUCCUUUUGCAACCGAACAAGACCCGAGGCAGCUGAAGAUGCAUCACUUCAGGACAGGUUGCUGCUGUCAAGAGGUCCAUUGCUCCUGACCAUGAACACUCUUCCGUGGCCUUUUCCUUUGGUACGAGGAUUGGGCCAUCAAGUACCUCAGUACCCGGACACCGACGGUGGAUCGGCUGGAGCACAGAGCAGCAAUCUGCUGUCCAGGAGAGGAGUGGAACGCUUUUGGCUCCCGCUUGGAAUUCAUGCCAUGAUAUAUGCGUCCCUGUUAAACUGAGAAAAUUGCAGAUUUAGAACUCUAAACAUCACGUUUCGCAUAUUCGCCAUUACAAACGUCAACUUGGCAAAUCUGGGACUCCAAACAUGUGCUUCUUACAUCUACUGCCAUUGAGUGUAUUUCUCCUUUUUUUUAUUUUUUUUAUUUUCCAAAAGGUGAAAUGACCCUUGUACCCUCAUCUCCUCGUUCGUCUCGCUAGACGCAUGGUCCUCAGCUCGCUGGGCCUUUGUACCACCGCCCCGCCCUUCCCGCCGGUCAAGCGCAGCCAUGGCGCCGCCGGUCCCCAGCCCGCCCUUGCCGUCGAGCAAGCGAAACCAUGGCACCGCCGGGCGCCGGCAGGCCAGGCGUAGCCAUGAAGCCGCCGGUCCCCAACCCGCCCUUGCGACGGCCAUGGCGCCGCUGCUCCCCAUUAGCCAUGGCGCCACCGGGCACGGGCAGGCUGCGCGCAGCCAGGGCCCCGACGGGCGUGGGCAGUGGCAAAGGAUCGUCGAAGCGAUGCGUCCAGCGGGAGAAAAGGAUACAAGGGUCAUUUCACCCUUUGGAAUACAUGAAAAAAAAAUAGAAAAGAGGGGAAAUACACUCAAUGGUAGUAGAUGCAAAAGGCGCAUGUUUGGAGUCCCAAAUAUUUACCAAGUCGAUGUUUGUAAUAUUUAAAUAUGUGAAGCGCGAUGUUUGGAGUCUCAAAUCUGUAAUUUUUUUUCUUGUUUACGUCCCUGUGUUUGUUGAUGUCAGUACGGGUGUCAUGUGCCAUGCUUAUUUCUCUACGGAGCUGUCGUCAUCUAUGGAGCGAUUCUUUAAGCAA